rnacentral:rRNA from 1 species
UACGAAGGGGGCUAGCGUUGCUCGGAAUUACUGGGCGUAAAGCGCACGUAGGCGGGUUCUUAAGUCGGUGGUGAAAUCCUGGAGCUCAACUCCAGAACUGCCUUCGAUACUGGGAAGCUUGAGUUCGGGAGAGGUGAGUGGAACUGCGAGUGUAGAGGUGAAAUUCGUAGAUAUCAGGUGGAACACCAGUGGCGAAGGCGGCUUUCUGGACGGUAACUGACGCUGAGACGCGAAAGCGUGGGGAGCAAACAGG